rnacentral:rRNA from 1 species
UACGAAGGGGGCUAGCGUUGCUCGGAAUGACUGGGCGUAAAGGGCGCGUAGGCGGCUUGCACAGUCAGGCGUGAAAUUCCUGGGCUCAACCUGGGGACUGCGCUUGAGACGUGUGAUCUGGAGUGAGGAAGAGGGUUGUGGAAUUCCCAGUGUAGAGGUGAAAUUCGUAGAUAUUGGGAAGAACACCGGUGGCGAAGGCGGCGACCUGGUCCUUAACUGACGCUGAGGCGCGAAAGCGUGGGGAGCAAACAGG